rnacentral:rRNA from 1 species
CCCUUAGAUGUUCUGGGCCGCACGCGCGCUACACUGAUGCAUUCAACGAGUUUCUUCCUGGUCCGAGAGGAAUGGGUAACCUUUUGAAAGCGCAUCGUGAUAGGGAUAGACUAUUGCAAUUAUUGGUCUUCAACGAGGAAUUCCUAGUAGACGUAGUUCAUCAGACUGCAUCGAUUACGUCCCUGCCCUUUGUACACACCGCCCGUCGCUCCUACCGAUUGAAUGCUCAGGUGAGUCAUUCGGACUUUCAUCAUGCUGGUUUCCAGUUUUGAUGAAGGAAAGUCUUGCGAACCUUAUCAUUUAGAGGAAGGAGAAGUCGUAACA